CACGCAGGCGGUUUGUUAAGUCAGAUGUGAAAUCCCCGGGCUCAACCUGGGAACUGCAUUUGAAACUGGCAAGCUAGAGUCUCGUAGAUGGGGGUAGAAUUCCAGGUGUAGCGGUGAAAUGCGUAGAGAUCUGGAGGAAUACCGGUGGCGAAGGCGGCCCCCUGGACGAAGACUGACGCUCAGGUGCGAAAGCGUGGGGAGCAAACA
rnacentral:rRNA from 1 species